GUGGUGACUUGUACACAUAAGGAGGUGGUGGUGAUGGAGAUGGAGGAGGUGGUGACUUGUACACAUAUGAUGGAGCCUUGUGCUCAUAUGGUGGUGGUGGUGGUGACUUGUAAAUGUAUGGAGGAGGUGGUGAUGGGGAUGGUGGAGGUGGUGACUUGUAUACAUAAGGAGGUGGUGGUGAUGGGGAUGGUGGAGGUGGUGACUUGUAUACAUAAGGAGGUGGUGGUGAAGGAGAUGGAGGCGGUGGUGAUUUGUACACAUAAGAUGGAGCCUUGUGUUCAUAUGGUGGAGGAGGGGGUGACUUGUACACAUAUGGUGGUGGUGGUGAAGGUGAGGGUGGUGGAGGUGACUUGUACUCAUAAGGUGGUGGAGGUGAAGAGUAAAUAUAACUAUCUGCAGCAGCAGAAACUACAGUAGUGGAAAUCAAAACAAUGGCCAAUGCCAUUGCCAUUGGAGGCCAGUUAUGACCCCUUUUGGGGCUACUGGCCAUAGCAGUCAUGAGUUGAAAGAAAAAACUUGCUAACUCCAAUUCUUAUGUUUUUAGAUAUCCCCACAAAUAUUCUUAGAAGAAGAAGAGGAAAAGAUAGAAAGAAAGAUGUUUUGGUGUUAGUGAUUACUGUGAAAAGCUGAAUGAAAGACCAAGUAUUUAUAA